CAGUAGCCGCGGGAAUACCGAGGGUGCAAGCGUUAAUCGGAUUUACUGGGCGUAAAGGGCGCGUAGGUGGUUAUGUAAGUGAGAUGUGAAAGCCCCCGGCUCAACCGGGGAGGGUCAUUGGAAACUGGGAAGCUUGAGUGCAGAAGAGGAGAGUGGAAUUCCACGUGUAGCGGUGAAAUGCGUAGAGAUGUGGAGGAACACCAGUGGCGAAGGCGACUCUCUGGUCUGUAACUGACGCUGAGGACCGAAAGCGUGGGGAGCGAACAGGAUUAGAUACCCCAGUAGUCCCUGUCUCUUAUAC
rnacentral:rRNA from 1 species